UUUAGACAGGAGAAAUGUAAUACAAAAGACUGGUAAACUUUGAUAAAACAGUAACUCUAAAAUACAAGAAAACUCUAUAUGGUACUCUGGAGCUGAGGGAGAGUAUUCAAUGAAGAAAAAAUUUAGAAGGGGUAUUUUCUCCACAAGACUAGAGUAGUUGAAAAAGGUGCAGUGGCAACCCACUCAACAGCACCGCGUUUCACUGCUUUGCUCAGGUCAGAGCUAUUCGGCAACUGCUGGACGAUAACAAUGGCAGAAAGCAAUUCUCCACGGCAUAGGUUCCACACAGUUGAAUCUCUUUCAGUGGAUCUAGCUACUUAAACUCUGGUGCUUAAUGUCUUCACUUAUACCGUGAGAAUUAAUACCCACUUCCUGAAGUUAUCCUGUCAGUUGUUUGCUGAUUUUACGGAACAGGCUUUGGAGGGUACCUCAGUUCAGAUGUGUCAUCUUCCCCGAGAAAG
rnacentral:lncRNA from 1 species